rnacentral:rRNA from 1 species
AACGAACGCUGGCGGCAGGCUUAACACAUGCAAGUCGAACGGUUGUAGCAAUACAGCAGUGGCAGACGGGUGAGUAACACGUGGGAACCUUCCUAGGGGUACGGAACAACUCAGGGAAACUUGAGCUAAUACCGUAUACGUCCGUGAGGAGAAAGAUUUAUCGCCCUUAGACGGGCCCGCGUAGGAUUAGGUAGUUGGUGGGGUAAUGGCCUACCAAGCCUACGAUCCUUAGCUGAUCUGAGAGGAUGAUCAGCCACACUGGGACUGAGACACGGCCCAGACUCCUACGGGAGGCAGCAGUGGGGAAUCUUGGACAAUGGGCGCAAGCCUGAUCCAGCCAUGCCGCGUGAGUGAAGAAGGCCUUCGGUU